GGGUUGUGAGGUUAAGCGACUAAGCGUACACGGUGGAUGCCCUGGCAGUCAGAGGCGAUGAAGGGCGUGCUAAUCUGCGAUAAGCGCCGGUAAGGUGAUAUGAACCGUUAUAACCGGCGAUACCCGAAUGGGGAAACCCAGUGUGAUUCGUCACACUAUCAUUACGUGAAUACAUAGCGUAAUGAAGCGAACCGGGGGAACUGAAACAUCUAAGUACCCCGAGGAAAAGAAAUCAACCGAGAUUCCCCCAGUAGCGGCGAGCGAACGGGGAGGAGCCCAGAGCCUGAAUCAGCAUGUGUGUUAGUGGAAGCGUCUGGAAAGGCGCGCGAUACAGGGUGACAGCCCCGUACACAAAAGCGCAUGUGUUGUGAGCUCGAUGAGUAGGGCGGGACACGUGGUAUCCUGUCUGAAUAUGGGGGGACCAUCCUCCAAGGCUAAAUACUCCUGACUGACCGAUAGUGAACCAGUACCGUGAGGGAAAGGCGAAAAGAACCCCGGCGAGGGGAGUGAAAAAGAACCUGAAACCGUGUACGUACAAGCAGUGGGAGCACCCUUUGGGGUGUGACUGCGUACCUUUUGUAUAAUGGGUCAGCGACUUAUAUUCUGUAGCAAGGUUAACCGAAUAGGGGAGCCGGAGGGAAACCGAGUCUUAAUUGGGCGUUAAGUUGCAGGGUAUAGACCCGAAACCCGGUGAUCUAGCCAUGGGCAGGUUGAAGGUUGGGUAACACUAACUGGAGGACCGAACCGACUAAUGUUGAAAAAUUAGCGGAUGACCUGUGGCUGGGGGUGAAAGGCCAAUCAAACCGGGAGAUAGCUGGUUCUCCCCGAAAGCUAUUUAGGUAGCGCCUCGUGAAC
rnacentral:rRNA from 1 species